GACGAACGCUGGCGGCGUGCUUAACACAUGCAAGUCGAACGGAAAGGCCCUGCUUUUGUGGGGUGCUCGAGUGGCGAACGGGUGAGUAACACGUGAGUAACCUGCCCUUGACUUUGGGAUAACUUCAGGAAACUGGGGCUAAUACCGGAUAGGAGCUCCUGCUGCAUGGUGGGGGUUGGAAAGUUUCGGCGGUUGGGGAUGGACUCGCGGCUUAUCAGCUUGUUGGUGGGGUAGUGGCUUACCAAGGCUUUGACGGGUAGCCGGCCUGAGAGGGUGACCGGCCAAAUUGGGACUGAGAUACGGCCCAGACUCCUACGGGAGGCAGCAGUGGGGAAUAUUGCACAAUGGGCGGAAGCCUGAUGCAGCAACGCAGCGUGCGGGAUGACGGCCUUCGGGUUGUAAACCGCUUUCGCCUGUGACGAAGCGUGAGUGACGGUAAUGGGUAAAGAAGCACCGGCUAACUACGUG
rnacentral:rRNA from 1 species